rnacentral:rRNA from 1 species
GACGAACGCUGGCGGCGUGCUUAACACAUGCAAGUCGAACGGAAAGGCCCUGCUUUUGUGGGGUGCUCGAGUGGCGAACGGGUGAGUAACACGUGAGUAACCUGCCCUUGACUUUGGGAUAACUUCAGGAAACUGGGGCUAAUACCGGAUAGGAGCUCCUGCUGCAUGGUGGGGGUUGGAAAGUUUCGGCGGUUGGGGAUGGACUCGCGGCUUAUCAGCUUGUUGGUGGGGUAGUGGCUUACCAAGGCUUUGACGGGUAGCCGGCCUGAGAGGGUGACCGGGCACAUUGGGACUGAGAGACGGCCCAGACUCCUACGGGAGGCAGCAGUGGGGAAUAUUGCACAAUGGGCGGAAGCCGGAUGCAGCAACGCCGCGGGCGGGAUGACGGCCUUCGGGUUGUAAACCGCUUUCGCCUGUGACGAAGCGUGAGUGACGGUAAUGGGUAAAGAAGCACCGGCUAACUACGUG